UACGGAGGGUGCAAGCGUUAUCCGGAUUCACUGGGUUUAAAGGGUGCGUAGGAGGGCAGGUAAGUCAGUGGUGAAAUCCCCGAGCUUAACUUGGGAACUGCCGUUGAUACUAUCUGUCUUGAAUAUUGUGGAGGUAAGCGGAAUAUGUCAUGUAGCGGUGAAAUGCUUAGAUAUGACAUAGAACACCAAUUGCGAAGGCAGCUUGCUACACAACUAUUGACUCUGAUGCACGAAAGCGUGGGGAUCAGACAGG
rnacentral:rRNA from 1 species